rnacentral:rRNA from 1 species
UGAGGAAUAUUGGUCAAUGGAGGCAACUCUGAACCAGCCAUGCCGCGUGCAGGAAGACGGCCCUAUGGGUUGUAAACUGCUUUUAUACAGGGCGAAUUCUCUUACGCGCUAAGAGGUUGACGGUACUGUAUGAAUAAGCACCGGCUAACUCCGUGCCAGCAGCCGCGGUAAUACGGAGGGUGCAAGCGUUAUCCGGAUUCAUUGGGUUUAAAGGGUGCGUAGGCGGUAUAUUAAGUCAGUGGUGAAACUAUCGAGCUCAACUCGAUACCUGCCAUUGAUACUGAUAGACUUGAGUAGUAUCGACGCGGGAGGAAUGCGACAAGUAGCGGUGAAAUGCUUAGAUAUGUCGCAGAACACCGAUAGCGAAGGCAUCUCGCGAGGUAUUUACUGACGCUGAGGCACGAAAGCGUGGGGAUCAAACA